rnacentral:rRNA from 1 species
UACAGAGGUCUCGAGCGUUGUUCGGAUUCAUUGGGCGUAAAGGGCGCGUAGGCGGCGGGGUAAGUCUGGUGUGAAAUCUAGGAGCUCAACUCCUAAACUGCACUGGAUACUGCUCUGCUAGAGGACUGGAGAGGAGACUGGAAUUCACGGUGUAGCAGUGAAAUGCGUAGAUAUCGUGAGGAAGACCAGUGGCGAAGGCGGGUCUCUGGACAGUUCCUGACGCUGAGGCGCGAAGGCCAGGGGAGCAAAGCGGGG